ACCGGCGUCACCCGCGCACUCACACGCGCGCACCCUCGUUCGCACGCAUUCCGGUACCGUCACCUCGGAGCCAGCCAGCCUUGGGAUCCAAAUCCAGUUCGGCUGCCUGCCGCCACCAGCACUUCAGCGUCGUCCCCCACAAGCCUCCCUGCCCCGUGCUCCUGAUUCCCUUUCAGGAAUUUACAAACAUUUUCCACAGAUCAAUAUCUGUAUUGAUUAUUCAUUGUGAGGGAGUCGUGUGUCUUUGGUGAUCCGGCUCGCAGAGGUAGCAGCCAAAGCCUGCUGCAGGGGAAAGAAACAGCAGAAGGCGAGAGGGACCCAGCUCUUGCUGGGUCUGCGGCUGUCGGCAACACAGAAAGGAAGAGAAAAAGAGGAACGUGCUGGGAAACGAAGGAAUGGAUGAGGGUGGAGGAGAAAGAGGGAGCAACAGCAAGAAAAACCAAGCGCUGGCUGCACAUCUGGUUGCAGGGCUCCUGGUGGCUUGGAGGAAAGCCCCAUCUUGGGUCUGCUGUUCCGUGCAUCCUGCCCUGGACUCCCUCUGCUCGGGGAGCCAGAAGUGACUCACAGUUUUGGUAUCUCCUACGUAAGAGCUUUGGGGGGAUUCCUUGGCUUGCUGACAGGAAAGGAAGAAAGCAGCAGCCGGGAGGUAAAACACGAUUACUUCCAACCGCCUGGCGGAGGACAUGCAGUCUCUUGGCUUGCCUGGAACAGCUCGCAGCUCUCUGAUGGCACGCGGAGGGAGAGUAAUUAAAAAGGCCAGCAUCACUUACUAAGGAUUACUGGAAAAGACAGUGAAAUGAUGACAGGAAAACAUCUUGGACCAGAGCCAAAAAAAAAAAAAAAAAAUCCGGUCAAAUCAAGUCUGCAGCUCAGAGAAAACACCCAUCACUCCUGUUGGAGGCUCCCACAGGAACUGCCCAGUGUUCCUCAGCCGACAAUGGAAUAUUAUGUGGGCACCAGGGAACAGAGCCAGGGAUCACAAGAACAUCCAGAGGAAAGAGCCAUGGCAUGCCAGGUGACACAGUUAUGUCAUACUUUGAGAAAACAAAACAAAACAAAAUAAUAAAGACCAACCUGUCCUUUUCUUUUAGUGGGAGCCCCUGCUUGCUCAAAAUAGCUUCUGUCUAUUGAAAGCAACCUCCAAGUGUGCCUUCUGGUAACAGGAGCUGCUGAUUCUCUGUUUGUCACCAGGAAGCUGCUGCAAUAUUACAGAAAGAUGCUGGGAAAAGGAGGUUGAGGAAAUUCAGUUUUCCCUUGACCGGGCUUCUGGCAAAACAUGCCAGGUGAUUGUCUUUGACAUCUGGACCAUCAUGUGGGAGUUAGUUUGGGAUUCGUCUUCUGUUGUCACCCAGCUGUGACUUGAACUCUUCAUCGCAACUGAGUAGGAAAAAAAGAUAGAAAUCCCCAGGAAAGAGAGAUCCUGCCUUUAGUUUGGAAGAAAGCUUUUCCACGGCACCUGAAAUAACUUCAACAGGAAAAAGCACCUCAGCAAAUGGUGAAGGGCAGCAAGAGAGCCCAUCUCCUCACACAACCGUACAGGGCUUUCCAAUUUCCAGGGUGCUCUUCACACAUAUUAUCCUGUCUAAUUCGCACUACAACCAGGCAAGAUAGUUAGUAUUUAGCUGAUUUCAUAGAUGAGGAUCCUAGGCUCAGAGAGGUGAUGAAAUUGCCUGAGGUUGAAAGCUACUAAGAGGCAUUCACGGGUCCUCUGAGUCUUCAUCUGAUGCCAUUUUAUUAUCUGUCAUAGGUCUCAUAAAAAAAAAAUCCUCUUCAGAACCCCUGACCCAAUGCUUCCCGUAUUCUUGAUCCCCUAUCAUUCCCCCACCUCACUCCCUCACUAUGAGAUUUGCAUCUUGUAGUCUGUGUAAUUUGUAGUCAUGUGCAAUUUGAAAAUGCUCCCUGUACCCCGACAGCAAUUAAGAACCACUGCUAAGUUCCAACUGGCAGUGGCAGGAACCCUCCUUAACUUUCCACUCUCUGCUAUUUGCUCCUAUCUCUUUCCUUCCCCUGAAAAUCUAGUUUAGCCAAAGGCUCGUCUACAUGUGCCACGUCUUUACUGCUUCACCCCCUUUUGCAUCUCUACACAGAGCACUCUGUUUUCAUUUCUACUUCCCCAUUUAACUGCUCAGGUCAUUAAUGCCCAAUUAAACUGUGCUUUCCUUCCUGGCAUGGUUGGAUUCCACUGACCACUCCCUCCUCCAUGGCACUCUUAUCCUCUGUCACUUCUGACACUAUUCUAUGCUAGAUUUUCUCCUUCAUUGAUGGUGGUGUCACCUCAGACAUCCUUCUUUUUAGUCCCUUAAAUACUAGUGCUCCCAAAGAGGGUUUCUGUGGCUCUCUUCUAGUCUCAACUGUACAUACUUAGCUUUGUGCAAGUGUAAGCCCCUGGCUUCAGUAGUCAUAUGAAUCAGUCAUCAAAUUAUAACCUCCAGCCCAAACCACUUUCCUGAACUCAGCCCCAGAUAUCUGGCUGUAUGCUGACCUCUCCUUGGGUUGGUCCAUGGCAUCCCCGACUCAGUACACCCUGAACUGAAUUCAUCAUCAUUCCCAAAUCUGUUCCUCCUCUGCAUCCCUUUUCUCUCUCCCCCGGCCCCACCCCAUUGUCAACUGCUCUUCAAGUUCUUUCAAUUCUACUCUCCUAACUGCUUUCUAACCUCUCUCUUUCACUACAUUCCUACUGCUCCUCUCUUGGCUUAUUUCCCCAGUGGCUUUUCUAACACAGUGCAUUCUCUGUACUACUUCUAAUUAAUCUAGAGAAAGUGCAAAUGGGAUUAUUUUGCUGACUUCAGUGAAAUCCUUCAGUGGAUUCCACUUUCCUAAUUUGGCCUUCAAGGCUCCUCAUGAUCUGGGUCUUUCCUCUCCCAAGCCUUCUCUCUUGAACCUCUUCCAUCUCCUGCUCUAUGCUCUAGGUCAUUCAAUACCUACCCAUAGCUCUUUCAUGCCUCUAGGGUUUCACAUGGUGUUCCCGCCUCCUGGAAUGUUCAACUCUACUUUUUUCAUCUGGCCAAUUCCUUCUUCACCUUCAAGACUCUGUUCCAGGAAGAAGCAUUAUCCACCCUCCCAAGUCUCUCACUUUGUGUCAUGUGCUGCCACAAGCCCCCUACCCUGCCUCCCUCUCUCAUGGCAUUUACCCCAGUUUUACAACAGUGAGUUUCUCCUAUUUGACUGUGAGACACUUAAAACCUGUAUUCCCAGCACCCAGAACAGGUCCUGGUGUACACUGUGUGCUUAAUAAAUUAAUAUUACUAUUUUUAUUCUCAGUAUCAUAAAUAAUAUUUUUUUAGCUGUACGAUUACAGGUCCCCCAAAUAAUCAAACUGAGGGAAAUACAGCAACCACUUCCCAUAGUGAAAAAAGGAUUUCCUAUGGUGUAAUUCUCACUUACAUCAGUUU